AUAUUAUUUUAUUUUGGUUAAUAUUUUUAUUAUUAUUUUAUUUUACAUGUAAAUUUUUGUGUGAAUUUGUUUUAUUUUUAAAAAAUAGAAUAGUUUAAUUUAUUCGCAGUAAUUAAUAUUAAUAAAAAAAGAAAUUUUGUAUUAGUAAUAAUAUAUAGUAUUGGUAAAAUUUGUGCCAGCUACCGCGGUUAUACAAAUAAUGCAAAUAAAAAUUUUUAGUAUUAGUUAAAUUAUUAAAUUAUUUAUUAAUAUAAAUAUAAAUUUAUUAGGUGAAAUUUUUAAAUUUAUUUAAUAUUAUUAGAAAAAAAUUAUUUAAGCUAUAAACUUUUUAUAAUAAACUAGGAUUAGAUACCCUAUUAUUGAAAAUAAAUAAUAAAAAUACUAAAGUAGUAUUAGUUAUAUUCUUAAAAUUUAAAAAAUUUGGCGGUGUUUUAGUCUAUUUAGAGGAAUCUGUCCUGUAAUUGAUAAUCCACAUUGAACCUUACUUAAAUUUGUUUAAUUUGUAUAUCGCCGUCAUCAGAAUAUGUUAUAAGAUUAAAAUUUUCUUAAAAUUUAAUUAAAUAAAAUGUCAGGUCAAGGUGCAGUUUAUGUUUAAGUAGAGAUGGAUUACAAUAAAUUUAUUUAAAUGGAUAAUUUUUUGAAAUAAAAAUUUGAAAGUGGAUUUAAUAGUAAUAUAAAAUAGAUUAUUUAUAUGAUUUUAGCUCUAAAACAUGUACAUAUCGCCCAUCGUUCUUAUUUUUAAAAUAAGAUAAGUUGUAACAUAGUAGAUGUACUGGAAAGUGUAUCUAGAAAGAC
rnacentral:ncRNA from 1 species